CCUAGAGACUACUCUACAGAGAGUUGUUGAGUCCAUCAAAUUAAUCUUGAGACAGGCAGAUCUGCGGACGUUGAGCCAAGGUCACGAGUCCUUCGGAACAUGCUGAAUCAGCCCGCUGCAGACAGGCAGGUCUGUGGCCGCGUACCAAGGUCGCGAGUCGUGUGGAACAUGCCGAAUCAGCCCACGCCCCAGCAGCAAUCCACUGGACACCCCCUCUCCCCAUUCCACUGGCCUCUUCUCUGUACAGCCAUCUGGUUCCACACUACAAAGAUGCAGAGGACACCAGGCCACCAGACCACUGUACUGGUGGACAUUUGAAAAAACAGCUACCAAAAAAAAAAGAAAGAAAAAGAAAAAAGAAAAAACAGC
rnacentral:lncRNA from 1 species